rfam:Branchiostoma floridae genomic scaffold BRAFLscaffold_100, whole genome shotgun sequence.
UGCAAAAUUUGGAGUGGCGCGUUGAUACACCCGAUCCAUUGAACUCGGAAGUUAAGCAACGUGCAAUCGGGUCAGUGCUUGGAUGGGAGACCACCAAGGAAGAUUGGAUGCUUUAGCCA